CCCCCGGGACGUAGCCCACGGGAAACCGUACGGAUUAAUACCGGAUGAGACGGGACCCCGCGAUGGCGGGACCCGGGAAAGGCGCUGCGGCGCCGCCGGGGGGAUGAGUCUGCGUCCCAUUAGCUAGACGGCGGGUAACGGCCCACCGUGGCGACGAUGGGUAGCCGGCCUGAGAGGGUGGACGGCCACAUUGGAACUGAGACACGGUCCAGACUCCUACGGGAGGCAGCAGCUAAGAAUCUUCCGCAAUGGGCGAAAGCCUGACGGAGCCGACGCCGCGUGAACGAAGAAGGCCGUGGGGUUGUAAAGUUCUUUUCGGGAGGGGGAACAACCGUGGCAGGGAAUGGCCGCGGGAUGACGUGAAUCCCGGAAUAAGCCCCGGCUAACUACGUGCCAGCCGCGGC
rnacentral:rRNA from 1 species